GCGCGGGGACCCGGCCCGGCCGUACCCCGCCGGCCUGCCGACCCGGGUCCGGGGGCCCAGUUGGCGCCCGGACCAGCUCUCCGGUCCGCGUCCUGUAGAUGGGAAAACUGAGGCCUGAGAGGGCGCGAGGGCGGGGACGAGGCCGAGGACUCGGGUUCGAAUCUCGAGGACGCCAGUAGCCCGCUCUGAGGCCGCGUGGGGCUGGUGGAGGAGCCACCGGUCGGGCCCCCAAGACCGGCUGACGUGGGCCUCGCCUCGGGCGACUCCCGCCGGGCUAGCGGCUGGCCGUGUGGUGACCUUGGGCGAGUUACUUCGCACAGCCAUCCAGGGGCCUCUUCUCCAACACGAUAGCACUGCACCCGGAGGGCCUUCAGACCUGAGCUGAAAUCUACACCACCGGCUCUCUGACUAUCAGGCUUUGGACUAUACUUUGGGCUUUCCUGGGUCUCUUACCUGGCAGACAGCAGAUUUUGGAACUUUUCAGCCUCCAUAAUCAUAUUCUACUGGAACUUCUAGCAGGCAAACUCACCUAGUGCUCUCUGGAAGGUGAUGUGGGUGGACCUCUGUCUGAUUCCAAUGUCUAGAUGCCAAUGAGCUCUCCACCAUCACCCCAGAGGCAGGGGAAAGAAGAUAUAAGUAGACCUGGGCCUGUCUUCAUUCACUCUCAUUCCCAGAAGAACCACAAAGCAUAAAUUUCCCCAAAAGGGGAAUUUUGUUGAUGGCUUUAGUCUAUUCCCUCCUAAAAGACCAGCUACAACCAAAUGAAGUGAACGUAACCUCAAGGGUGUAUUGUCUUCAUAAUAAAAGAUGAAGCUUAGAACUGGA